AAUGGUACGGAGCUCCAUUUGGCUAGAAAAAAUGAAGGAAAAUGUGUUAGUCCUUAAAGAUACAGUUAAACAAUUGUAUAGACAAAGGAAAAGUCAAAUGCUGAUCAUGCAGUCAAGUAACUUAUGCCAUAUACUCGCUAAGGAAACACAAUAGCAGAACCACCAAUUGACACACCAUAUCCCUAGAAUUUUCCACCCUCCCUCCUCUCAUUCUAUGAACGGGGAAAAAGAGUAAGAAUCGAUUGAACACACAAAUGUUGCUUAAUGAUCAGGUCACAUCUAACAAUUUCUUCCAAAUAAAAUUAUUGGAUUUUUUGGGAGUUAGCAAAAUCACAUUCCAUAAUCCCAACAGGAAAAUCAAAUUAUCAUACUGUUGCAUUGGGAACAUGGGGUAGACCUGCACUUUAUCUUUGAGUGGAACAAAGAAAUACUAACAGAUAAGAAGAUAUCUACUGAAGAAAUACUAAGAAAGGAGAGAGCAUAACUCAUGAUUAAUUUUAACAGUAUAUGAACAUGCCACCAAGCAUGCUUACUGAAAGCUGGACAUAAACUAGAAAGUCAAUAAGAUAAUUCAUAUGAUGAAUCUAAGAGAAGGUGUAGGAAUUAAUUAUGAUCAAUGAACAAAAAAAUUACCCUUUAGUUCUCCACAUAAACUUUCUGAAAAACUUGUUCAAAAAAGAAGUUAGAAUAACACUUUCGAACAUUACAGCUAAUCAAAUAUCUGAAUAAGGACAUUCAUCUAUCACAAAAAUAACCAGUGCCUUCAAAAAUGAAAAAUCUUUAACUUUACCCCAAAAGACAAGUGUAAUUAGAUACUUCCCAAACCAUACAUAAUGAAUCAGCUGAACCUACAAAGUCGGCACAAAUUCACACGCACAUGGAGAAGACCAAACAGUUGAUUAAUAUCUACAUGUCAAUGUAACUUUUUUUGUCUGGAAAGCACACCUUAUAACUUGCCCGUGCUGGAAC
rnacentral:misc_RNA from 1 species